rnacentral:rRNA from 1 species
UACGUAGGUGGCAAGCGUUGUCCGGAUUUACUGGGCGUAAAGAGCGCGCAGGCGGUCGUCCAAGUCGCGUGUGAAAGCCCCCGGCUCAACUGGGGAGGGUCACGCGAUACUGGUCGACUCGAAGGCAGGAGAGGGUAGUGGAAUUCCCGGUGUAGUGGUGAAAUGCGUAGAUAUCGGGAGGAACACCAGUGGCGAAGGCGACUACCUGGCCUGUUCUUGACGCUGAGGCGCGAAAAGCUAGGGGAGCAAACGGGG